rnacentral:rRNA from 1 species
UACAGAGGGGGCAAGCGUUGUUCGGAAUUACUGGGCGUAAAGGGCGCGUAGGCGGCCUUCUAAGUCGAACGUGAAAUCCCUGGGCUCAACCCAGGAACUGCGCCCGAUACUGGAAGGCUUGAAUCCGGGAGAGGGAUGCGGAAUUCCAGGUGUAGCGGUGAAAUGCGUAGAUAUCUGGAGGAACACCGGUGGCGAAGGCGGCAUCCUGGACCGGUAUUGACGCUGAGGCGCGAAAGCGUGGGGAGCAAACAGG